AGCAGCCGCGGUAAUUCCAGCUCCAAUAGCGUAUAUUAAAGUUGUUGCAGUUAAAAAGCUCGUAGUUGAAUUUCGGGAUUGACGUGAUGGUCAUGCCUUAAGGGGUAUGAACUGUUACAGUUGAUUUCUCACCUUCUGGAGAAACUUGAUGUCCUUUAUUGGGUGUCUUGCGGAUCCAGGACCUUUACCUUGAAAAAAUUAGAGUGUUUAAAGCAGGCAUUUUUGCUCGAAUACAUUAGCAUGGAAUAAUAGAAUAGGACGGCAUGGUUCUAUUUUGUUGGUUUCUAGGAUCACCGUAAUGAUUAAUAGGGAUAGUUGGGGGCAUUAGUAUUCAAUCGUCAGAGGUGAAAUUCUUGGAUUUAUUGAAGACUAACUACUGCGAAAGCAUUUGCCAAGGAUGUUUUCAUUAAUCAAGAACGAAAGUUAGGGGAUCGAAGACGAUCAGAUACC
rnacentral:rRNA from 1 species